UUUCCUGGAUUAUUCGAUAGUUGUUACUACUCUCGAGCCGAUAAAAAAAUAUUAGGAGACUCUGAUAAAUUUUAUUGUGCACGCCCAUCUGUGGGAAGCCUAGUGAAUUGACGGGGUCACCGCCUUGAACUUCACGGUUCAGGGCAGUAAUCAACAACGGUACUCUGGGA
rnacentral:other from 1 species